GGGCCCGUGGCCAAGCCAGGAUAAAGGCGUCGAAAGAAAAACUUGCGCAAGCCUGCGGAGCCGGAGAACCUGGGUUCAAAUCCCAGCGGGCCCG
rnacentral:tRNA from 1 species